rnacentral:lncRNA from 1 species
GAGGCUAUUGUCACGAUGGUGUUGUCACGGCGUAAGGGGGUGCUAUCAUGGCGUGAGAGGGUGAUGUCGCGGUGCAGGGCUUCGACUUCGCGAAGGAGGCUAAUCCAAGGGCUAUGUGACAAAGUGGGUGUCGCUGCGUGAGGAGGGCUUCGUGGAGGAGGCGACAACCGUGAGGAGGGGCUCCCUGGUGCAAUGAGCAUGGUGUACGGUUGGUGCGUUACGGGGCUUUAACUGUUAAGCCCUCUUCUUUUGCCGUCUUCUUUUUAUCAGGUUAUUAUGAGGUUUGUAUGAUAUAAACUCUGUGCAUUAAGUUUGGUUGAUUUGUUUCUUGAAUAAAAGACAAGAAACUCUAAAUUGUCCAGUACCUAGGGGUGACUAACCUCUGCCCUAUAUCCCAAUAUUCUAAAUUUGGUCUCUCAGUGUGUUACGUGUCUAGACUCUCAACGCUCACAAUAAACCAAAAGAAUAAUGAAAGAAUGGAAUUUCUUUUAUUGAUGGUGAUAGAAUUCUCUAAAUAAACAAAAGUAAACAAUAGUUGGGAGCAUAACCUCCUUCAAUUACUUGUGAGCAUAACCUCCCUCACAGGACAAUAGUCGUC